CCUACGGGAGGCUGCAGCGGGGAAUAUUGCACAAUGGGCGCAAGCCUGAUGCAGCCAUGCCGCGUGUGUGAAGAAGGCCUUCGGGUAGUAAAGCACUUUCAGCGGGGAGGAAGGCGGUGAGGUUAAUAACCUCAUCGAUUGACGUUACCCGCAGAAGAAGCACCGGCUAACUCCGUGCCAGCAGCCGCGGUAAUACGGAGGGUGCAAGCGUUAAUCGGAAUUACUGGGCGUAAAGCGCACGCAGGCGGUCUGUCAAGUCGGAUGUGAAAUCCCCGGGCUCAACCUGGGAACUGCAUUCGAAACUGGCAGGUUAGAGUCUUGUAGAGGGGGGUAGAAUUCCAGGUGUAGCGGUGAAAUGCGUAGAGAUCUGGAGGAAUACCGGUGGCGAAGGCGGCCCCCUGGACAAAGACUGACGCUCAGGUGCGAAAGCGUGGGGAGCAAACAGGGUUAGAUACCCGUGUAGUC
rnacentral:rRNA from 1 species